GAUGAACGCUAGCUACAGGCUUAACACAUGCAAGUCGAGGGGCAGCAUGGUCUUAGCUUGCUAAGGCCGAUGGCGACCGGCGCACGGGUGAGUAACACGUAUCCAACCUGCCGUCUACUCUUGGACAGCCUUCUGAAAGGAAGAUUAAUACAAGAUGGCAUCAUGAGUCCGCAUGUUCACAUGAUUAAAGGUAUUCCGGUAGACGAUGGGGAUGCGUUCCAUUAGAUAGUAGGCGGAGUAACGGCCCACCUAGUCUUCGAUGGAUAGGGGUUCUGAGAGGAAGGUCCCCCAGAAUGGAGCUGAGACACGGUCCAAAACGCGACGCAAGGGAGCAGUAAGGAAUAUAGGUCGAGGAGCGAUAGCCUGAACCAGCCAAGUAGAGGGAAGGAUGACUGGGCUAGGGGUUGUAAACUUCUUGUAUAGAGGAAGAAAGUCGUGUAUGGAGACCCGUUUGAAUGUACUGUAAGAAUAAGGACCGGCUAACUCCGUG
rnacentral:rRNA from 1 species